rnacentral:rRNA from 1 species
UACGUAGGGUGCGAGCGUUAAUCGGAAUUACUGGGCGUAAAGCGUGCGCAGGCGGUUUUGUAAGCCAGAUGUGAAAUCCCCGGGCUUAACCUGGGAAUGGCAUUUGGGACUGCAAGGCUCGAGUGCGGCAGAGGAGACUGGAAUUCCUGGUGUAGCAGUGAAAUGCGUAGAUAUCAGGAGGAACACCGGUGGCGAAGGCGGGUCUCUGGACAGUUCCUGACACUGAGGCACGAAGGCCAGGGGAGCAAACGGG